UAUAUCAUGUAUUCUUUUGUGUGUAGCAGUUUGUAUACUGUGGUAUGGAUACUGUGUGAGUGACUGUUGGUAUGAGUAUAGAGCAGCCUGGAGGUUCCCUGUGAUCUGUUGACAGAUCCCCAGGAUCUCCCAGGAGAUGUCUCUGAAUAGAUCUAAUAUAUACAGUCCCUGAUCAUGGUGGACUAGGACCUGUAGCUCAUCUAGAGCUGCUUGUGAUAAUGUUGUAUCAAUGUGUCUGUAACACAAGAACUCUAGGAAGUGUAACAUUACAAACACUGGGAUAUAUGAUAACUCUUUUGUUCUGUAGAGCAGACUGUUGUUCUGGUAUUAGUUCACUGAUAUAACAGAUUUCAUUGUCAAGUAUAAUAUCCCUUGCUACAGCCUGUCUGCUCUUUGUAGACCAGGACUGUCCCCCUACAGCCUCAGUAUACCUCUCUCUGUCUACAUGUACCUUAUACAUCAGAUAUGGCUGUGCUAACUUGACCUUUGUCAUCUCUAUAACAGAUAAAGCUUCCCUGUAUCUGAGUGUCUUGUAAUAAUGCAUGGCAAUGUACAACAUGUCAGAUACACACCCAAACUUGGCUGCUAAUUUCAGCAUGUGACAGGACAUUUUGUCUGCAAUAUACAUCUGUUUGUUGGAACCUAUGUUAGUGUACAUGUUGUGUAAUUGAAAUGCAGUACACUGAAAUAAGGAGGCUGUAAAUCU
rnacentral:sRNA from 1 species